rnacentral:lncRNA from 1 species
AAAAAUAAUUCUGUCCAAUCCCAUGAACCCUUCAACCCUCUCUUCCUCAACCUUAGACACACAAAAACCCUAUAGACCAUAGCUACAUCUCCUUCUUCAACCUUGAACAACAAAAAACCCUAGAAAAAACACCAUAGCCGCCACCUCUGCUGCUUCUUCACCUCAUACCAAACGACCAGCAACCUUCUUUAACCAAAAACACUACCAUAUGCACAUAAGACCCUAAAGUCGCCGCUCAUCUUCACCACACUCACCGGAAAACAGCCACACAAUCACCUCUCUACCGUUUGCUCAACCAAAACGUGCUGAAAAAUUCGACAACCAGCGUCGUCACCCUCCAUCCCAGCUCGCCGGAACCAGCGUCACCUCCAUCUCCCUGAACCUAGCCAGCGACUCACUUUCUCCAUCUCCCAACAACACACUCAUGUAGAUAGGAGGAGAGAUUCAACCGCAUACUCUCAAACUCUCUCGAUUUCCUUACUCUCUUCUACUCUCACAUAGAGAGACAAGAUUCUUCAUGUUUUAGCCGGGGAGUCACGCCCAGAAAUGAGAUAGAAGAGGACGAACAGAGAGGGCCGAAAUUUCAAAGUUUUUGAUUGUUGAGUUUUAUUUUUAUAUUCUAAAAUCAGAAAUAUACAAAAAAUAAUAAUAUAAUUCUGCCUUCCUCUUUUCUAGUUUCGAAUUUUGGUUUCAACAUGGAGUUUAAUUGAAUACGAGGUGAAUUUGUUGUUUCAACUCGUUGUUUGAGGUUUUCAAUUAAUCUCCGGUUACGGUUCCAAUCAAAAUUAGCAGUCUCUACUCGACUUUGUUGUUGUUCUCUUCUAGGAUUUGGGGCCUUGUAUUUGUUUCAUUACUCAUUUAUUCAAGGAGAUCUUCUUAACUGUGGCGAAUAAAGUUUUAUUUGAACCGAUGUUGAUUCUGAUUCGAGUUCGAGGUUGCCAACGAGGUUUGCAGUUCAAGGUUCAGUCCUUGUUUUUAUUUUGGUCAGAUCUAGAUCACCAGAGUUUGUUGUAAUUGAAUUCAAUUAAUGGG